AUUGUAUCUAUCUUUCUCUUGUCUCUGUUCAUAUCUUCUUUCUCGUUUUUCAUUCCUAUAGGGUCUUCUUCUUUCUGAUCUCUCUCUGUCAUAGUGAUCCCUCCUUUUUUGUUCUUUUUGUUGCCAAUAGGGAAUUUUCCUAUUUUCCCAAAUUUUGUAUGUGAGAGGAUUUUGGUGACGAUAUCUAUGAUUGUUGGGAGAGUUGUCAUAAUUUUCUCUAGUUUUUAUAUCUUUGUUUCUCUUGGGUGUCUGUAUUCUUCUUAUGGGGUUUUUUUUUCUAUAUUCCUGUCUUUUAAAUUCUCUCUCUUGAAAUUGUGUCUCUUCUCUCCUUUUGCUAAUAUUCUCUAUGUGGUUGUAUUUAGAGAAACUUUUUACUUGAUUGGUUUUGUAGUCUCUAACAUCUCUGUAAUACUUACUUUUUUUAGUUUCAAUUACUU